AUGUUGUUUCAUUCUCCUGAUCAUGUUGUACCUCGGUUAUAUAAGGAUGAUUAGAUAGAAAUGUUCUAUCUCUGUGGUUAGUUCGUUGCAGUAAGAAGAGUAUGAUAUUAUGAAUGAAUGUAUUUGAAAGAAGUUGUAAACUAGGUAAUUACUUGUCUCGUAUGGUUUGCUUAUUUCCAAUUUCAGGUAUCUGUUCUUCAGUUAACUUUAGUUUGUUCCUUCGAUAGUUGUUUAAAGGUGAGACAUUGAACAUAUGUGUGUGUGGAAAUAGAAUGAUUUUACCAAAUAUUGUAGUUAGAAGGGUGUGUGAAGUUAGAAUGACUAUUCCCAUAUGCACAGACAAAUAUUAAGAGAAGACAAUGAUUUUACCAAAUAUUAAGGGUGCUUGAAGCUUAUGAAUUGUCUUCCUUUGAUUUGCACAAAUGGAUAAUUUGCUCUACUUAAUUUGUGGCUGCUUCUCAAGCAUUGUUUUUAAGGGUAAAACUUCUUUCAGUUUCGUGCUUUUGUUUUGGACACUCCUUUUAAAAAAAGAGUAUAUUUCGACCACUGAUGUGUGUUGAUCAUGCCUUCUACUUUUCCGUACUCUGAAGCAGAUAGCACUAGGUGUUGUGAAAUUGGAUUUGUUUUCAUUUAGCUUUCAACAUUUCUCGAGCCCUGCGCAAGAGAACUCAUUAUUAUUCAAAUUAUAAGUGCAUCACCCUGACUGUUGGACUUGAUUAAUGCAGUGAUGGACCUACCUUUUGUAUCUUUUCAGUGGGUUUUUUCUUGAAGAUGCCAUGAUUCUUCAAUGUGGGCACUCAUUGGGUGGUCUCUUGUAAUAUAUUUUCUUAUUUCGAUGGUGCUAUGUAGACAAUUAUGUUUCUGGCACUCAUUGGGUCGGCUCAAUCUACUUGUCUUUCACUAGAGAGAACUGUCUUUAACGAAUCUGGCAUGACUAGCUGAUGUCCGCUGCGAGUCCAGUAUGGAUGGGCCUGAGGCCAGAGGCGGAGCGUGAGUGAAAUAUUAGCAUGGGCCGAAUCGUCAUCCCACCGUGGUAGCAUGGGCCAAUAGAGCCACAUCUCUUAAUCGGACCAGUAUUUAGUAGAUAUAGUGAGACAAAUAAGUUAAUAAAUACAAGUUUCACUUUGAUAAGACUGGGCCAGCACCCAGGUUGGCCUCCAAGAAGCGCCGCCAGUGCCUGAGGCCUUGAGCGCGCACGGACGUGGUAUAGAGCUUCUACCUAUUCAUCAUGUUGAAUCUGAACUGCUAGCCAUGGAUCAACAGCCGUACAACGCAUAUUGCUUGAUGCUGCUGCUUGUUAGUGUUGAUUGGUUUUCUUGAUAGAUGGGGCUCAAGCUUUCUUUUUUGCUUUUUCUUAGGUCGGCACUACUUGGUAGGGUGUCUACUCCAUCGCAAAAGAAGUGAAGUAAACAAGAUAAAAGGGUUCUCAUAUUGGGUUCAUGCAUUGAUGUGUUUUACAAUAUCCCCUUAGACCUUUGUGAUUAUAAUAUCCUUCCCCAUGUAGUGCUAAAUAUGGUGUUUUAGAAACCAUCUGCCUUGGCAAGUUAUUUGUAAUUAUAUUUCUUUACUUUGAGGCUUCUAAAUGAUCUGGUGCAAGUAAUAAAUAUUAUCCAGUUUGAUGUUUGGUUUAUUGUUCACUUAGGGCAGGACAUUGUGCCACUAUUCUCCAUCCACCUUGAUGGAACACGACGCUUACAGGGGUGGUCACAUCAUAUUGGGAGGAAGCAAAGAAAGAGAUAUGGCUGUUGUGAAUUGCCAUGACCGGAUCAAAGGUUCCGAUCUCUAGGCAAGCUCCUACUUUAAAAUUUCCUUAUCUUUGAAUUUGAAUCGUCCUCCCCAUUGCACGAUCAUUUUUGUGCCUCUGUUGUAUUCAUUCAACCCAAAUGUCAUGGUAUUUUUCUUAUCUUUGAACAUAACUAUUAAUGUGUUUAAUUCUGUAUCCACAUUGUACUAUUUUACAGUUUACUAAUGUUACGAUUUUCAGCAUCUUGCCUCGUUUUUUUUUUUUUGCUUCUAUGUCUUCUCCAUCUGCUUGCCCCUUGCACAUUUGCAUUUUGCCUCUGAGCCAUUAGAUCUGAUUUAGUUGGACUAAGGGACGGGGGAUGGAGGAGAUUGGGGGCCAAGGAAGGCAGGCUGCCCGGCUAUCGGUCGGACUGUGUGAGAAGGUGUGAGAGAGAAGACAUCCACAGAUCCACUCAGACUAGAGUGUGGGCCGACCGCUACCACAGUUUUGAAUGGAACAUGCCUCUUUGUAAUCGUGUUGUUUUGAUAAUUAGCUGCUUGUAUUUUGAAACAUAUAAACUGGCUAUUUUACAUGGGAGAUUUUGUUUUGUAGAAUAAGCAAAGGGUCUACAAAAAAAAUCUGGCAUGAAUUUUAGCUUUGCUUAUUUUUGACAUGUAAAUCUACACGAAUUUCA